CUUGUAUGGGAUUUUCAUCACACCUUAUCCCAGGGCAGUAUACAGAGGCUCUUGCUUUUUUAUAUGCUAAACUCCAAGGCUUCAAAGUACUGUAAUUUACCGAGGCGGAGGGCACUUAAUGAAACGGUAAGAGAACGUCACUAAAGACCGAAGCUCCAAGAAGAAAUACACACAGGAGAAGGAAGAGAGGAUUAGACGCCACAGCAGAAAUGCAUCCAACUCAGAAAAUUAACCAUAUUUAGCAAUGCCUUCUUCUCUUGGUGGAGGGGAAUGAAAUGAAGACUUAGGUUCUGCGAGCUGGACUCCCCGAGGGAGGAAGAUGUUUGUGUAGUCCUUGCAUGGAAGCUACAAGGCUGGUUAAUUCUCUGCCCGGACUCAAGGACAGUUCAAAGAAAGGGAGGGAAGGCAGAAAAGCUCAAGCUCUCAUAGAUAAGGACCUGUGUUUUCCUUGAAUGAAGAACCACCUUGCCUGGCCAGCAGCUGAAGGUUUCCUAGAGUGUAUCACCACCACCACCAUCAUCAACCUCUUCAUCAGAAUAGCUGCCAGCAUGUGCAGAUGUUUACCCUGUGCCAGACACCAUACCCAGGGGUGAUUUUCUCCCUACAAAGCCAAUGAGGUAAUUCUUCUUCCCAUUUUGAAGAAGAGGACAGUUGAUACUUAAGGAAUGGAGUGCUUUGUUCAAGUCACACAUCCAGUAGGUUGUGGAGUCAAGGUUCAACUCAGGAAGCCUGUCUCCAGUGCCUCCAUGCUAUAAAUGCACAGAAGGAUGGACAAAUGCACAAGUAGAUAAAUGACAUUCCAGGAAG